rnacentral:rRNA from 1 species
AACCCGCCUACACGAAGUUGGAAUUGCUAGUAAUCGUGGAUCAGCAUGCCACGGUGAAUACGUUCCCGGGUCUUGUACACACCGCCCGUCACACCAUGGGAGUCGGUAACACCCGAAGUCAGUAGUCUAACCGCAAGGAGGACGCUGCCGAAGGUGGGAUUGACGACUGGGGUGAAGUCGUAACAAGGUACC